rnacentral:rRNA from 1 species
ACUUAAUAGUAAUAAUAGAGGUAAUUAUUAUUUAUAAAUUUAGGUCUAGGUGCAGCUUAUAAAAAGGAUGAAAUGAAUUAUAUUAGUUAGAUUUAGCUAAUUUUUUUAAAGAAUUUUAAGAAAUAAGUAAGAUUUAAAAGUAAAUUUAUGAGAUAAUCUUAAGUUGAAAUAAGCUCUGAAGUAUGUACAUAUCGCCCGUCGCUCUCAUGAAUAAUUGAGAUAAGUCGUAACAAAGUAAAUAUACCGGAAGGUGUUU